rnacentral:rRNA from 1 species
AUUGAACGCUGGCGGCAUGCCUUACACAUGCAAGUCGAACGGCAGCACGGGAGCAAUCCUGGUGGCGAGUGGCGAACGGGUGAGUAAUAUAUCGGAACGUGCCCAGUCGUGGGGGAUAACGUAGCGAAAGCUACGCUAAUACCGCAUACGAUCUAUGGAUGAAAGCGGGGGAUCGCCAGACCUCGCCCAGUUGGAGCGGCCGAUAUCAGAUUAGGUAGUUGGUGAGGUAAAGGCUCACCAAGCCGACGAUCUGUAGCUGGUCUGAGAGGUCGACCAGCCACACUGGGACUGAGACACGGCCCAGACUCCUACGGGAGGCAGCAGUGGGGAAUUUUGGACAAUGGGCGCAAGCCUGAUCCAGCAAUGCCGCGUGCAGGAUGAAGGCCUUCGGGUUGUAAACUGCUUUUGUACGGAACGAAACGGCGAGCUCUAAUACAGUUUGCUAAUGACGGUACCGUAAGAAUAAGCACCGGCUAACUACGUGCCAGCAGCCGCGGUAA